UGUUCACUACAUAACUUGCAUCAAAUUAACUUUGAACGUCAGAAGUGGAAGUGAAAAUGUGCUUCAAAAAGUCACAAAAAGGCAACUACAAUUUUGUGAAGACAAAUUCAGAGAAAAGAAAUUCUGCUCCAAAAUCUGAGGAUGCUCAGUCAAUUUCAUCUUUCUCCCAGAUUAAAGUAGAUUAAUUAAUUAAUUAAUUAAUCAUUAUAAAUGCGUAAUGAAAGUGUUAAUGUUUUAAAAAUGUAACAAUAAAUUGCAUAAACCUACA